GCGCAGACUAGGCUGGGGGGUUAGGCGUCCCCUGUAACCGGAAAUCGCCUUAGCCGGAGCCGAAGCUUCCAAGGCGGCGCAUGCCGCUGCCAGCGAUCCGGCAUCCAACGAUGAAGUUUCGUCCUCUGGGACUGGAGGUGGCAGACCGGCUGGCCGGAGGACCAGUCUGCCUGCCUUUGUCCUGGCCAAGGGGUUAGGCCCGGAAGGGAGCGGCCCAGCCAGGAACUACCAGUGCUCAGAGGGGUGCGGAACUAAGGAGGGUGCUGGAGUAAAUCGUUGGUGGUGGUGUGUGCCCACUUGGGGCGUGUCUGCGC
rnacentral:SRP_RNA from 1 species